GAAUGUCUUUCAAAUUACACGCUGUCUGUGAGGUGCUUAGAGAUCUGUGAGACACAAGGAGAUUAUUUUCCUCUGGGGUCCGUUGUGAUCCCCAAGUCCACAGCAUUAAAAGCGGCGAGGGAGGAAGGCAACGGGACAUCCUCGCGCCCAGGAACGUGGCCUGGAGGAGGGCCCGAGCCGCCCCGAGCGGUGCCGGCGGGGAGGCUGCCAACACAGCGCUGGAAGUUGGAUUGCGAGACAAGUCGGGAGGCCGCCUGGAACCUCGCGUCUCUUUCUGGGGCGCCCUGGAACACCGCAGCCGGAGAGGGGGAAACCGCCUCCGAGCCGGACACGGGGGCACGCGCCACCACCGCCGCCGAGGGAGGCCGGCCCAGGGCUCCACGGCUGGCCGCCCGGGGCGCCUCCGCCCGACGCGGAGAGGUGGGCGGCGGCCGGGGAGACCCCAGCCCUCGAGAAAGCCCGGCUCGCGUCCAUCGGGAGACGCCUGCCCCGGGCGGGCUCGCGACCGUGACGCAACGGGCGCGCGGGCGACAGGCUGGGCGGGCGGGAGCGGCGCGCCCCGCCCCUCGGAGGGCGGGCGCUGCGGUUCCGGAGGGCGGGGCGGGGCGCGCCGGGGAGUCGGGGCGCCAGCCGCCGGUUUCGAUUAGUGCGCGGAGCUGCGGCGGCGGCGAAGGGUCUGGAGCUGCGCAGCCCGGAGCCCGGCGGCGAGGCGGAGGGGCGGCGGCAGCGGGUGCGCAGGCGCGCAGGGGCCGGCCGCGGCCGCGACGGUGUGGAGAGGAGCCGGGGCGCGGGGCCACGGCCGGCCUGACCACGGAGCGCGGUCGCCGCAGCGUCUGCAGCCGCGAGCGCGCCCAGGGUAGCGCGCGGGCGGGGGCGCGCAGGCCCUGCCCGCCCCUUCCGUCCCCACCCCCUCCGGCCCUUCCUCUCCCCACCUUCCUCUCGGCUCCUGCGCCCCCGCGCCGGGCGCCCACCCUGUCCUCCUCCUGCGGGAGCGCUGUCCGCGGCGGCGGCUGGAGC
rnacentral:lncRNA from 1 species